rnacentral:lncRNA from 1 species
AUCAAUGGGGAACUACAGCAUACUGCAGCUUUAGCAAUACCAAGAAACUGUUGAUUCAGACAGACUAGAAUAAAGAAGUGGUGGUGUAGCUUCUUUCCAGUGCCUGUGAUUCUGCUUUUGUUUGACACUCUCUUUUAACACUGUUGUCCUCACAAAGAUAUGGAUUUUUUGAUGACAGAGCCAGUUUAUAAACUUCUUAUCUUUUUAUGCAUGAUACAAGGGAUGAAUGGAGGGCUUAUACAUUAUAAGAUAUCUGCAACUGCUGUGGAGGGACAAAACAUCAGCCUGCAGUGCAUUGUGACAGACGAGCAUGACAUCACAAUUAUCCAGCUGGAGUGGAUUAAACAGCAAAAGGACAAAAAGAUGACUGAUCAGAAGAUUGUUGUGUUCCAUCCUGGGUUCCCAAUACAUUAUUUUCAAUCUGGUUUUCUUCUGGAGACAGUGACCAGUUCAAAAACUAGGAAGCUGCAGGGCUCAAUCCUCACUCUGCGUGAAGUUAGAGUGAACGACACUGGAAACUAUAUUUGUGAAAUCACUUCUUAUCCCACUGGAUCAAUUAAAAGAAUCACAAAGCUGCAAUUUACAGAGCCUCCAGCAUCAGUGAAGAUGUCAUAUCCAUAUGGAUUCAUAAAAGAGGGGGAUGAUAUGAAAAUAACUUGUUCAGCGAUCCCUCCACCAAUCCAUUAUAAACUAAAACGUUCAAAGAACAAGAUAUUUUGGCUGGAAAGCUCAAACGGAGAGUUCACUUUACCACAUGUCACCAGAAACGACAGCGAUGUGUACAUCUGUUUACCUGAAUGGGACUCAUUAGUCCCAAAUCUGCAAGGCCUCAAUGCCACCGUCGAAGUGACUGUCAAUUUUCUUGAUGGCAUUGAGUGUAACACAAGCAGCUCUUUAAACGUCAGCGCUGGUGAAGAUGUGGUCAUUUCUUGUAUCGCAAAAGCUUCACAGUACUUGCAGUAUAAGUGGAUGAGGGGUGACACAACACUGUCUCUCUCAGACACUUUGUCUCUGACCUCCAUGACAUCUGAGCAGUCAGGAACUUACAAACUGACAGCUGUCUUUCUGGACAAUCAACUCCAGACAGACAUUGAGAUUUCUAUCCAGGUUCUCCCAAAGCAAAAUGAAGGUAAAAAAAUAAAUACUUUUUUUUUUUGGAAUUGCAGGCAUGUGGCAAUUUAAAGUUCGUUUGCAUUUUUUUUAACUGUAGAUAAUAAGGAAAUAAAGUCCCAAGAUUCGGAUUCGGUGGAAUACUGGGCUUUUUGACAGGGUUCGAUUUCGGCCGAAUCUUAGAUUUUUUUUUUCACCGAACCGAACCCUAGGCUGGCGCUAGGCUGGUCGACGUCACGUGGCCGUUGAUUAAAGGGUUAGUUCACCCAAAAAUGAAAAUUAUGUCAUUAAUAACUCACCCUUAUGCUGUUCCAAAUAUGUAAGACCUACUUUUAUCUUCGGAACACAGUUUAAAAUAUUUUAGAUUUAGUCCGAGAGCUCUCAGUCCCUCCAUUGAAACUGUGGUACGGUAUACUGUCCAUGUCCAGAAAGGUAAGAAAAACAUCUUCAAAGUAGUCCAUGUGACAUCAGAGGGUCCGUUUGAAUUUUUUGAACCAUCGAUGAUGCGAACCGUUUAAAACAAUUCAGUUCGAUUUGGUAAACUGAAUGAUUAGUUCGCGAACCGGAUAUCCAGACUGCUUUGAUUUGAACUCUCUCUCACAACAGACACGGAAGAGAAGACAAUGCUGAAUAAAGUCGUUGUUUUUGCCAUUUUUGGACCAAAAUGUAUUUUCGAUGCUUCAAAAAAUUCCAACGGACCCUCUGAUGUCACAUGGACUACUUUGAUGAUGUUUCUCUUACCUUUCUGGACAUGGACAGUAUACCGUACACACAGCUUCAAUGGAGGGACUGAGAGCUCUCGGACUAAAUCUAAAAUAUCUUAAACUGUGUUCCGUAGGCCACGUCCACGUCCAAUACACGUCCAAUACAAUUUAAAUUCACGUCUUGUAGGCUACACUUCAAUGCACUAUGAUCGGAAAAUAUAGCUACGUUCGCUUCGAACUGGAAUCAUGGCUAAAUAUCUUGUGAUAUCCACUUCGGAGGGCACUUAUGUUCGAAUAGGGCUUGGGCGUCGUGACGUCAUUACUUGGCUUGGCCGCCACUUUGAUAGCGUCCUUUACUGCUACUCGGACUACUGCGCAGUGUUUAGACAUACUCCCUCUCAUCCGUGUGUCUUAAUUUGAUUAAUUAAAAAUCUAUUUCAACCAUGGUAAACCGUUGCUGUAUUGUGGGGUGUAAUAGCGCAACACAUCGCCAUAGGGAAAAUAAAAUGAGAAUGGAUUAACUUUACACCGCUUUCCUGCUUGGAGGCGCGACCACGGAGACAUCUGAAUAUUAAUUUAUAUAGCUUAAGUCAACAUUGAAAAUAAGGGAAAUUUCUCGGGUUACUCAUCCAAAAUACGGGAAAUUUCAACAUUCAUCUUUUUGUUGUUAUCCCUCUGCUGACAGCAAAAAUUCCUACAAAACUGCUGCAUUAACUAACGUUAAGCGAUUUGUGAAGCUAGGUCUAAUGUGACUUUAGUUACAGAUUGGUGUGAAAUCAUGCUCUCACAACAACCACGCUAUCUUAAAAAGUCCAACAUCAAGCAUAGGUUGUUUUAAAGUAAGCAAAACGAUGCUUUGAAAACAUCUGUUUCACUAGAAGGACAAGGAGUAGCAACAGGACAGCAACACAGAGACUUGACAGGUCCGGUUGUAGGGCUAACGGGUUAUUUUACAGGAAAAUACUAAAACGGGAAGACAGCGGGAAAACAGCUCAAAUACGUGAGAACCCCGGAAAAAACGGGAGGUUGGACAGCUACCAACUACACUUUUGAAACACAUUGUUAAAAGUCAGUGUUGGGCAAGCAACUUGGAAAAUGUAGUGAGCUAAGCUACCAGUUACUCUACAGUAAAUGAAGCUUCACUACACUGAAGCUACCCCCCUGGGAAAUGUAGCAAGCUUAGCUACAUCAACAGUAGCUUGCCACAUCUAAGCUACUUUUAAAAUAAAAAUGUUAUGUUGAACACAUUUUAUUACAAGUCAAUGCUAUCUCAGUGCUCAAAGCUUUCAGUCAAACAGAUGUGGGUAGGUGUAAUUGUUUAGUUUAAUUGUUUUUUGUGUUCCUUAUCAAUUUGGCAACCAAAACAAUUAAAAUAGAUGUAAUUAACAAUGUGCGCACAAGUGUAUGCACCUGUUGCAUGGGCAUGCUUAAUAUUCUGUAGGCCUUUGCAGAACAAAAUGCAAGACCUCCAAACAGUGUGUGUGUGUGUGUGUGUGUGUGUGUGUAGGAGAUUAUUACACGUAGGAUAUGGCCUGGCUGGACCCUGAUAAUUUUUACAAGCAGCAUCUGAAAACAUAUUUUCUCUGUUAUCUCGGUCAGUGUCAUGUAGCUACUUGUCGAGGUACGGCCACGGUGACUCACUCCUCGGGAUUAACUAUUUCCGACCUCAUCCGAUGCCAUCAUUCCAUCAUAUAAUUUUUUGCGUGACUGGCAAAGGAGUGGUACCAUCCGGAGCAGAAGGGGGCGGUAAUGCAUCAUAAAGAUGGUUGGUUGCUGUCCACCGUAAACACGAGAUGAAGUGGCACCAUCACCUCACUACUGAUCCAGGAUCAGCGAUCUUAGCAGUUGUAUUUCCCGAUUUGAGUUUAAGCUUCAGAAAUGCUUGCGAAAAUGUAGCUUGUGUGGAAGCCACCCCACUACUUGGUAAAAAAAAGAGCUUCGCUAUUGAAAAGCUAUUUGAUUCAGAAAGCAGCGAAGCUACGACCAAGCUACUGAGAAAUGUAGUUAAACUUGUAGCUUCGCUGCUUAUAGCGACGCUACUGCCCAACACUGUUAAAAGUCCAUGUGUGAACGGUUACUAAACUAGCAGCUAGGUAGAGUGCAGCUUACUGGAUUACUGUAUACUGUUUGCCACUUUUCCGAUUCUAUGAUUUGCAGCUCCUGAACCCAUCCAUUUGUGUACUGUCAUGAGACUUCAAUGACUUGUAGCUUCUGAACUAUUCUGAAGUGUAGGUGCUCACAAAACAAACAAGGGAGCCGCAGAUAUCUGUAAUGCAAAAGUGCGGCAGCAAGUCUCCCUCGGUACUCCACUAUUUGUUGGGAAUUUAAUAUGGAUCCAAAUCAUUAAUAGUGCCGAUUUGUCCACAUACCGGUCCCUGGCAUCCCUAUUUAGUGUAUCCCUAUAAAUGUCACAACCUUUUAACAUCUUUUUUUCUUUCUCCCAACUCAGACCCAACUCAGUUCAACUAGCUGUAUGUUUACAUUCGGGAGGCUAGCAACAGGGCUGCCACGUCCCAGAAUGCAACUCGGCGCCCAAGCCAUAUAGAACAAAUGUCUGAAGCGCUAAGAGAAACGUUCAAAAUGUGCAGAGCAGUGGGGCACGAGGACUGCAAUUGAGAACCGCUGCCCUAUCCGAUCAUUUUUCCUCGUUCUAAAAAAAAAAAACAUCUCGGUUACGUAUGUAACCUUGGUUCCCUGAAUAGGGAACGAGAUGCUGCGGUGACGUCACCACGUAUGGGAACACCUCUGGUGUGACGAAUGUCUGAAGCCCUAUACCAUCCCGCCAAUCCUAUUGGCCAAAUGGCGCAUAGCACCACCCUGCGCAUGCGCACGCAUGAUAUACCUGGGUGCAGCGCGCCAUUUCGCUCAGAUUUCAUGACUGAAGAUGAAGAGUUAUCAAGGUACGGAACGGCCAGAACCGCAGCAUCUCGUUCCCUAUUCAGGGAACCAAGGUUACAUACGUAACCGAGAUGUUCCCUAUCAUAGGUCACUUCGAUGCUGCGGUGACGUCACCACGUAUGGGAACGAUAUACCAAAACGCCUGACGUACCUGAUAACUGAGAUCCGAGGAAGCAACUGCUCAAGCGGAGAGAACCCGGGAGCCAGGGGCCAUCCUCACAUCCAGACUGUAGGACUUGAUAAAAGUGCUCAGUGAGGACCAUCCUGCCGCAGCACAGAUAUCAUCCAUAGAAGAGCCACUGAGAAAAGCUUGAGAAGAAGCUACAGCUCGAGUGGAAUGAGCCUUAACCCCUAAGGGCGAAGCGAGUCCGCGCGCCUCAUAGGCCAAAGAAAUUGCCUCCACCAGCCAAUGGGACAUGCGCUGCUUUGUAACUGCAUGGCCCUUACUUUUAUGUCCAAAGCAGACAAACAGCUGGUCAGAUCCACGCCAAGGGGCUGUGCGAUCCACAUAAGUCUUUAAAGCUCUCACAGGGCAAAGACUUAGAUCUCCUGAUCCGGCCUCAGCAGGUGAAAAAGCUUCCAGAACCACUUGCUGAAAGCGAAAAGGGUUAGAUGCGACCUUAGGAACAUAGUUAGGCCUGGGCCGCAGCAGCACCUUCACAGAGCCUGGUGCAAAUUCCAUGCAUGAGGGUGAAACAGAAAGAGCCUGUAAAUCCCCAACUCUCUUGAGGGAGGAUAAAGCCAUGAGAAGAAGUGUCUUCAGUGUCAGGAUUUUAUCUGAGACGGUCUCCAAGGGCUCAAAUGGAUGCCCUGAUAAACCUAACAACACAAUGGAUAAAUCCCAUGAAGGAACUCGCACAGGG